rnacentral:rRNA from 1 species
GGGUUGUGAGGUUAAGCGACUAAGCGUACACGGUGGAUGCCCUGGCAGUCAGAGGCGAUGAAGGACGUGCUAAUCUGCGAUAAGCGUCGGUAAGGUGAUAUGAACCGUUAUAACCGGCGAUUUCCGAAUGGGGAAACCCAGUGUGUUUCGACACACUAUCAUUAACUGAAUCCAUAGGUUAAUGAGGCGAACCGGGGGAACUGAAACAUCUAAGUACCCCGAGGAAAAGAAAUCAACCGAGAUUCCCCCAGUAGCGGCGAGCGAACGGGGAGCAGCCCAGAGCCUGAAUCAGUGUGUGUGUUAGUGGAAGCGUCUGGAAAGGCGCGCGAUACAGGGUGACAGCCCCGUACACAAAAAUGCACAUGCUGUGAGCUCGAUGAGUAGGGCGGGACACGUGGUAUCCUGUCUGAAUAUGGGGGGACCAUCCUCCAAGGCUAAAUACUCCUGACUGACCGAUAGUGAACCAGUACCGUGAGGGAAAGGCGAAAAGAACCCCGGCGAGGGGAGUGAAAAAGAACCUGAAACCGUGUACGUACAAGCAGUGGGAGCACGCUUAGGCGUGUGACUGCGUACCUUUUGUAUAAUGGGUCAGCGACUUAUAUUCUGUAGCAAGGUUAACCGAAUAGGGGAGCCGAAGGGAAACCGAGUCUUAACUGGGCGUUAAGUUGCAGGGUAUAGACCCGAAACCCGGUGAUCUAGCCAUGGGCAGGUUGAAGGUUGGGUAACACUAACUGGAGGACCGAACCGACUAAUGUUGAAAAAUUAGCGGAUGACUUGUGGCUGGGGGUGAAAGGCCAAUCAAACCGGGAGAUAGCUGGUUCUCCCCGAAAGCUAUUUAGGUAGCGCCUCGUGAAUUCAUCUCCGGGGGUAGAGCACUGUUUCGGCAAGGGGGUCAUCCCGACUUACCAACCCGAUGCAAACUGCGAAUACCGGAGAAUGUUAUCACGGGAGACACACGGCGGGUGCUAACGUCCGUCGUGAAGAGGGAAACAACCCAGACCGCCAGCUAAGGUCCCAAAGUCAUGGUUAAGUGGGAAACGAUGUGGGAAGGCCCAGACAGCCAGGAUGUUGGCUUAGAAGCAGCCAUCAUUUAAAGAAAGCGUAAUAGCUCACUGGUCGAGUCGGCCUGCGCGGAAGAUGUAACGGGGCUAAACCAUGCACCGAAGCUGCGGCAGCGACGCUUAUGCGUUGUUGGGUAGGGGAGCGUUCUGUAAGCCUGCGAAGGUGUGCUGUGAGGCAUGCUGGAGGUAUCAGAAGUGCGAAUGCUGACAUAAGUAACGAUAAAGCGGGUGAAAAGCCCGCUCGCCGGAAGACCAAGGGUUCCUGUCCAACGUUAAUCGGGGCAGGGUGAGUCGACCCCUAAGGCGAGGCCGAAAGGCGUAGUCGAUGGGAAACAGGUUAAUAUUCCUGUACUUGGUGUUACUGCGAAGGGGGGACGGAGAAGGCUAUGUUGGCCGGGCGACGGUUGUCCCGGUUUAAGCGUGUAGGCUGGUUUUCCAGGCAAAUCCGGAAAAUCAAGGCUGAGGCGUGAUGACGAGGCACUACGGUGCUGAAGCAACAAAUGCCCUGCUUCCAGGAAAAGCCUCUAAGCAUCAGGUAACAUCAAAUCGUACCCCAAACCGACACAGGUGGUCAGGUAGAGAAUACCAAGGCGCUUGAGAGAACUCGGGUGAAGGAACUAGGCAAAAUGGUGCCGUAACUUCGGGAGAAGGCACGCUGAUAUGUAGGUGAAGUCCCUCGCGGAUGGAGCUGAAAUCAGUCGAAGAUACCAGCUGGCUGCAACUGUUUAUUAAAAACACAGCACUGUGCAAACACGAAAGUGGACGUAUACGGUGUGACGCCUGCCCGGUGCCGGAAGGUUAAUUGAUGGGGUCAGCGCAAGCGAAGCUCUUGAUCGAAGCCCCGGUAAACGGCGGCCGUAACUAUAACGGUCCUAAGGUAGCGAAAUUCCUUGUCGGGUAAGUUCCGACCUGCACGAAUGGCGUAAUGAUGGCCAGGCUGUCUCCACCCGAGACUCAGUGAAAUUGAACUCGCUGUGAAGAUGCAGUGUACCCGCGGCAAGACGGAAAGACCCCGUGAACCUUUACUAUAGCUUGACACUGAACAUUGAGCCUUGAUGUGUAGGAUAGGUGGGAGGCUUUGAAGUGUGGACGCCAGUCUGCAUGGAGCCGACCUUGAAAUACCACCCUUUAAUGUUUGAUGUUCUAACGUUGACCCGUGAUCCGGGUUGCGGACAGUGUCUGGUGGGUAGUUUGACUGGGGCGGUCUCCUCCUAAAGAGUAACGGAGGAGCACGAAGGUUGGCUAAUCCUGGUCGGACAUCAGGAGGUUAGUGCAAUGGCAUAAGCCAGCUUGACUGCGAGCGUGACGGCGCGAGCAGGUGCGAAAGCAGGUCAUAGUGAUCCGGUGGUUCUGAAUGGAAGGGCCAUCGCUCAACGGAUAAAAGGUACUCCGGGGAUAACAGGCUGAUACCGCCCAAGAGUUCAUAUCGACGGCGGUGUUUGGCACCUCGAUGUCGGCUCAUCACAUCCUGGGGCUGAAGUAGGUCCCAAGGGUAUGGCUGUUCGCCAUUUAAAGUGGUACGCGAGCUGGGUUUAGAACGUCGUGAGACAGUUCGGUCCCUAUCUGCCGUGGGCGCUGGAGAAUUGAGGGGGGCUGCUCCUAGUACGAGAGGACCGGAGUGGACGCAUCACUGGUGUUCGGGUUGUCAUGCCAAUGGCACUGCCCGGUAGCUAAAUGCGGAAGAGAUAAGUGCUGAAAGCAUCUAAGCACGAAACUUGCCCCGAGAUGAGUUCUCCCUGACUCCUUGAGAGUCCUGAAGGAACGUUGAAGACGACGACGUUGAUAGGCCGGGUGUGUAAGCGCAGCGAUGCGUUGAGCUAACCGGUACUAAUGAACCGUGAGGCUUAACCUUACAACGCCGAAGCUGUU